rnacentral:rRNA from 1 species
AUACGGAGGGUGCAAGCGUUACUCGGAAUCACUGGGCGUAAAGGAUGCGGAGGCUGGAUGUCAAGUUGGAAGUGAAAUCCUAUGGCUUAACCAUAGAACUGCUUCCAAAACUGGCAACCUAGAGUGAGGGAGAGGCAGAUGGAAUUAGUGGUGUAGGGGUAAAAUCCGUAGAUAUCACUAGGAAUACCGAUUGCGAAGGCGAUCUGCUAGAACUCUACUGACGCUAAGGCAUGAAAGCGUGGGGAGCAAACAGGAUUAGAAACCCUAGUAGUCC